rnacentral:lncRNA from 1 species
AAUGUCAAGACCAUAUGCUGCAGCUGAGUAAGUAUCUUGCAGAGGGAGCCACAGCUGGUCUAUAUUUAAGAGAGAGACAGCCAGGCACAUUAUCAGCUAGUUAAUUUACUGAAAAUUCCAGGUGAUAUCCAUGACUUGCACCUCUUCCAAAGGACAGACUUUCCUGGUCUGGUGCCCUCCAGAGAUUUUGGAUGCGUCCCAAAGACACAUCCAGCAUGCUCACCAUCGUAAAAGAAAGGCUCUUGCUUUGGAAUGUACUUCCCGAUUAAUUGUGACUGUAGGGGCUUUCCUUAAUAGAUCGAUUAUUGACGAUUUUAGUGUCAGUCUUUCCAACCAGCCUGCCUUCCCACUUUACACACGUUGCUUCCUUGAAAUGGGUAAGUACUUUUCCUAGCUCACAGGUACGAAAGAAGAAUUAGCCACAAAAGGGAAAAGGAAAGGGGGUUCAGGAGACAGUGUUGCCUUGUUUUAUCUCUCACAAUAUAAGAAAGUUGUUUAGGCAAACUCAAAAUGAAACAGUUUGAAUUGGUUUCACUAAACAACAGUGGAAAGGCAAGGAAAAUGAAAGGUGAAUGAUAGAAAGUAGUGGACUAGCUUUUAAAAUGUAGCCAGGCUUUAGAUAGAAAAUUAUGAGGGGAAAUCUGCAUAAGAAAUGUCCCUGAUUUUUGCCUCUCCCAUCCCUUUCUCUCAUGGUCAUCUGCAUACGUAAAAUGCACUUUGCUUGAAUAUUUUGAACCAGUCUCCCAUCCAGCAGUAUCCACCCUCAUUGAGACCAUCAGAAGGUGCCAAAUAUUUUAUU